UAGGGUGUAGGUUAAUUAGGUAAAACCGAUAAGUUUAUUUUUUAUAGAUGCCGAAGGCUGCUCUUU
rnacentral:tRNA from 1 species